rnacentral:rRNA from 1 species
AGAUUGAACGCUAGCGGGAUGCUUUACACAUGCAAGUCGAACGGCAGCGCGGACUUCGGUCUGGCGGCGAGUGGCGAACGGGUGAGUAAUAUAUCGGAACGUGCCCAGUAGCGGGGGAUAACUACGCGAAAGCGUGGCUAAUACCGCAUACGCCCUACGGGGGAAAGGGGGGAUCGCAAGACCUCUCACUAUUGGAGCGGCCGAUAUCAGAUUAGCUAGUUGGUGAGGUAAAGGCUCACCAAGGCGACGAUCCGUAGCGGGUCUGAGAGGACGACCCGCCACACUGGAACUGAGACACGGUCCAGACUCCUACGGGAGGCAGCAGGUGGGGAAUUUGGAACAAGUGGGGGCAACCCGUGAUCCAGCCAUUCCGCGUGAGUGAAGAAGGCCUUGGGUUAGUAAGUC